UACGUAGGGUGCGAGCGUUGUCCGGAAUUACUGGGCGUAAAGAGCUCGUAGGUGGUUUGUCACGUCGUCUGUGAAAUUCCGGGGCUCAACUCCGGGCGUGCAGGCGAUACGGGCAUAACUUGAGUGCUGUAGGGGAGACUGGAAUUCCUGGUGUAGCGGUGAUAUGCGCAGAUAUCAGGAGGAACACCAAUGGCGAAGGCAGGUCUCUGGGCAGUUACUGACGCUGAGGAGCGAAAGCAUGGGUAGCGAACAGG
rnacentral:rRNA from 1 species